CUGGGCAGGCAGUGACAAGCGAAAACGAGUCUUAGGAAGCGAAUAUUUGAGUGUGUGGUGUGUGAUUAAUAAUGUUUUUAAUAAGAAUAAUUUAAAAUAUUUCACCACAAGAAUUUAAGUAACAGCAGAGCAAUAUUAUCGAUUGAUGAUAAAUAAGAAUGGAAGAGUGUUCAUUUUGAUGCAACUGAAAAAGCAAGUGGCAAACAACAAAAAAAUGGUGUUCGUUUCAUUUUGGAGGAUCUUCUAUUACGAACAUUGGUUGUGUCAGUGUUCUAUCCAGAAAGUAGAUGUCCUAAAAAGAAGCACAAAAGUGCCUUUUUUCUACAGGGAGAGCACAGGGUACCAUUGCUAAGGGAAAGAUUUAUGACGAAUGGACUGAUUGUCCAAGUGAAGAGAAAUUACAGCUAAUUCUGAUGGUACUGAAAGAGUCGAUGAUUUUGACGUCUUACCCUUGCAACAUAAUUUUGCACCUGAGAUGGGGAGACAUUUGAAAAUUACUUUGGAAACGACUAAAACAACAACUUGUCUGCAGUGGUAUUCCUCCUGAAUUUGGCUUGUUCAUUCUACGUGUGGACCUUAGAAAGCUACUUUCUGCAGAUAAUUAAGAUUGUCCAACAAAUGAGUUCAGUUUGGCGGUACUCGAACAACCGUCUACAUGGGUGUGGUCUUUUCAGGACUUUGUUCCUGAUUUGAUAUUUUUAUCUUCACUUUGCAACACCAUGCAGUUGAUUUUCGACCGAUUAGUGGGAGCAACUAAGGAUCUAUUUGAUUUCAAAUGGCACAACAAGAUUUCUGCUAUGGUGUUUUUCCUGGAUUAGUUUGCUCUUCACACCUGCAAACAGUUUCAGUCUGCAGUUAAUUAAGAUCAACGUUGGAGAAGCCAAAGAUGACCCCAUAGUUGAAAUACUUCUUUUAUCUUGCAUGCUUUAUCUAAUAGAAUUCAUUAAGUUCAUUUUAUUCAAAUUAAUUUUUUAUUUUGCAUGCUUAUCUUUGUUCAUUUUAUUU
rnacentral:lncRNA from 1 species